AGUGGGUGGCUUUCUGAUGAGGUAAGUGAAAUAAUCAUUUUUGGUCCUAGUGGUGGUCUGUAAAAAUAAUCUUCUUUUAAUCCAAACAGGUCAUUGAUGCAUACCUGCACUGCCUCAUUAAGAAACAAAAGGAAUUUUCUGAAGAUGAAAGGAAAGGAAGAGUCCCGAGUGGAUUGGAAAAUGGAGACUCUGCCACACAACAAGCAGAUGGACUCCAGCAGUUGUGGAGUUUUAGUGUUGAAGUUUGCCGAACACUACCUUCUGAGUGGAGACGUUACUGUCCACUCCAGAAGCCAUUGGGCUGCACCGCACUGAAAUUGCUUGCGAACUGCUAGAACAUCAAAGUAAUGCUGAUGACUACUGUGUGGUUUGUUCCAUGCUGGAAGCCGAUCCUGACUCCAGUAUGAUUGAAAUGGUGCAGUGCGAGUUUUGUUCCAGAUGGGCACAUUUUGGAUGUGCUCAAUAUGAGAGCAGCCUGGUCAAGUACCUGUGCGACAAAUGUGCAUAAUUUGUACACUGUUUCUUUUUCAGUUCUUUCUCCCUGUGUUCUGUUGGAUCUAU
ensembl:lncRNA